rnacentral:rRNA from 1 species
CCUACGGGUGGCAGCAGUGGGGAAUAUUGGACAAUGGGGGGAACCCUGAUCCAGCGACGCCGCGUGAGUGAAGAAGUAUUUCGGUAUGUAAAGCUCUAUUAGCAGGGAAGAAAAUGACGGUGCGUGAUUAAUAAUCCCCGGCCAACUACGUGCCAGACGCCGCGGUCAUACGUCGGGGGCAAGCGUUCUCCGGAUUUACUGGGUGUAAAGGGAGCGUAGACGGGUGCACAGGUCUGGAGGGAAGUGCCGUGGCUUAACCGGGGAAGUGCUUUGGAAACUGGGCAGCUGGAGUGCAGGAGAGGUAAGUGGAAUUCCAUGUGUAGCGGUGAAAUGCGUAGAUAUAAGGAGGAACACCAGUGGCGAAGGCGGCUUACUGGACUGUAACUGACGUUGAGGCUCGAAAGCGUGGGGAGCAAACAGGAUUAGAUACCCCGGUAGUC